rnacentral:rRNA from 1 species
AGUGAACGCUGGCGGUAGGCCUAACACAUGCAAGUCGAACGGCAGCACAGGAGAGCUUGCUCUCUGGGUGGCGAGUGGCGGACGGGUGAGGAAUACAUCGGAAUCUACUUUUUCGGGGGGGAGAACGUAGGGAAACUGACGCUAAUACAGCAUACGACCUACGGGUGAAAGCAGGCGAGCUUCGGACCUUGCGCGAUUGAAUGAGCCGAUUCCGGAUUAGCUAGUUGGCGGGGUAAAGGCCCACGAAGGCGACGAUCCGUAGCUGGUCUGAGAGGAUGAUCAGCCACACUGGAACUGAGACACGGUCCAGACUCCUACGGGAGGCAGCAGUGGGGAAUAUUGGACAAUGGGCGCAAGCCUGAUCCAGCCAUACCGCGUGGGUGAAGAAGGCCUUCGGGUUGUAAAGCCCUUUUGUUGGGAAAGAAAUCCAGCUGGCUAAUACCCGGUUGGGAUGACGGUACCCAAAGAAUAAGCACCGGCUAACUUCGUGCCAGCAGCCGCCGCAG